AGAGUUUGAUCCUGGCUCAGGAUGAACGCUGGCGGCGUGCUUAACACAUGCAAGUCGAACGAACCUUCGGGUUAGUGGCGGACGGGUGAGUAACGCGUGAGAAUCUGCCCUCAGGAGGGGGACAACAGCUGGAAACGGCUGCUAAUACCCCAUAUGCCGCGAGGUGAAAUGAAUUUCGCCUGAGGAUGAGCUCGCGUCUGAUUAGCUAGUUGGUGUAGGUAAUGGCUCACCAAGGCAUCGAUCAGUAGCUGGUCUGAGAGGAUGAUCAGCCACACUGGGACUGAGACACGGCCCAGACUCCUACGGGAGGCAGCAGUGGGGAAUUUUCCGCAAUGGGCGAAAGCCUGACGGAGCAACGCCGCGUGAGGGAUGAAGGCCUCUGGGCUGUAAACCUCUUUUAUCAAGGAAGAAGAUCUGACGGUACUUGAUGAAUAAGCCACGGCUAAUUCCGUGCCAGCAGCCGCGGUAAUACGGGAGUGGCAAGCGUUAUCCGGAAUUAUUGGGCGUAAAGCGUCCGCAGGCGGCCCUUCAAGUCUGCUGUUAAAAAGUGGAGCUUAACUCCAUCAUGGCAGUGGAAACUGUUGGGCUUGAGUGUGGUAGGGGCAGAGGGAAUUCCGGGUGUAGCGGGGAAAUGCGUAGAUAUCGGGAAGAACACCAGUGGCGAAGGCGCUCUGCUGGGCCAUCACUGACGCUCAUGGACGAAAGCCAGGGGAGCGAAAGGGAUUAGAUACCCCUGUAGUCCUGGCCGUAAACGAUGAACACUAGGUGUCGGGGGAAUCGACCCCCUCGGUGUCGUAGCCAACGCGUUAAGUGUUCCGCCUGGGGAGUACGCACGCAAGUGUGAAACUCAAAGGAAUUGACGGGGGCCCGCACAAGCGGUGGAGUAUGUGGUUUAAUUCGAUGCAACGCGAAGAACCUUACCAGGGUUUGACAUCCUGCGAAUCUCUUGGAAACAGGAGAGUGCCUUCGGGAACGCAGUGACAGGUGGUGCAUGGCUGUCGUCAGCUCGUGUCGUGAGAUGUUGGGUUAAGUCCCGCAACGAGCGCAACCCACGUCUUUAGUUGCCAGCAUUUAGUUGGGCACUCUAGAGAGACUGCCGGUGAUAAACCGGAGGAAGGUGUGGAUGACGUCAAGUCAUCAUGCCCCUUACAUCCUGGGCUACACACGUACUACAAUGCUACGGACAAAGGGCAGCAAGUUCGCGAGGACAAGCAAAUCCCAUAAACCGUGGCUCAGUUCAGAUCGUAGGCUGCAACUCGCCUACGUGAAGGCGGAAUCGCUAGUAAUCGCAGGUCAGCAUACUGCGGUGAAUACGUUCCCGGGCCUUGUACACACCGCCCGUCACACCAUGGAAGUUGGCCACGCCCGAAGCCGUUACUCCAACCCUUGUGGAGGAGGACGUCGAAGGUGGGGCUGAUGACUGGGGUGAAGUCGUAACAAGGUA
rnacentral:rRNA from 1 species